GAUGAACGCUGGCGGCGUGCUUAACACAUGCAAGUCGAACGGAAAGGCCGAAGCUUGCUUCGGUACUCGAGUGGCGAACGGGUGAGUAACACGUGGGUGAUCUGCCCUGUACUUCGGGAUAAGCUUGGGAAACUGGGUCUAAUACCGGAUAUGACGAUCUCUUGGAUGGGGUUGUGGAAAGCUUUUGCGGUAUGGGAUGAGCUCGCGGCCUAUCAGCUUGUUGGUGGGGCAAUGGCCUACCAAGGCGUCGACGGGUAGCCGGCCUGAGAGGGUGUACGGCCACAUUGGGACUGAGAUACGGCCCAGACUCCUACGGGAGGCAGCAGUGGGGAAUAUUGCACAAUGGGCGCAAGCCUGAUGCAGCGACGCCGCGUGGGGGAUGACGGCCUUCGGGUUGUAAACUCCUUUCGCAAUCGACGAAGCCUUUUGGUGACGGUAGGUGGAGAAGAAGCACCGGCUAACUACGUG
rnacentral:rRNA from 1 species